GGAGCUACGGGGUUUUGGAGUUUGUCCUGCUUGGUCCAGUGUUUCCUCUCUGUGCCCCCAUUCCUCCUUUCUGGAAAGAAAAAGGAGCCAAAGAGAUGUUUGAUAGAGCGCGGUAUGGUGAGGUUGGAGGAGGUGCCUCUGCGGCCCAUGCUGUGGCAUCCCUUUCCCCCUGACGUACCAGCCACAGGACAGGUCGGGCCACCGGGGUGUAUUUUCAGCAAUGACAACCAUACUGAAGGUUAGCUGUCUCAACCUUAUCUCCAGACAACAGAGAAAUUUCUCUCCCUCUUAGAUUUUGGAUUCAAAAGCCCAGGAUCAAAGACUUGCAGCUCCUGGUGCUGGAGAAAUGUCUCAGUGCGCUAAGACCACACACUGCUCUUGCAAAGGACCCAGGUUCGGUUCCCAGCUCCUACACGGCUGCUCAUAGCCAUCUCUAACUCCAGAGAACCAGAUGCCCCCUUCCUUCUUCUGGGAGCUCUUGCACACAGCAGUGCACAUAACCUCACACGGGCACACAUCCACACAUGUUCAUAAAAUGAUAAAGAAGUCUUUAGAAACAGAGUUGGGGGUGCUGCAGAGGCAGCUCCAUGGUUAAGAGCACUGCUUGCUUUUCAGGAGGGCUCUGGUUUGAUUCCCGACACCCACAUGGCAGCUCUCAACUGUCUCUAACUCCAGUCCCAGGGGAUCCAACGCUCUGAUCUAGAGUCUGCAGGCACCAGGUGUGCACGUGGUACACGGAUAUGCUCAUAGACAAAAUACUCAUAAAUAUAAAAAAUAGAUAUCUUUAAGGACAGAGGUGCCCAGCGGCUUCCGGGGCUGUGAUGUGGGUCAGCGGUGAGAGAGGUGGAUCCAGGCUUCAGGCAGGAGACAAACAAACAGAAUAACCUUUGUGUCCCACACAGUGCGGCUGACAGCUGGCUGUCUAUUUCAGAAUCGCUAGGAGAAAAGACUUAGGACGUUCCCAAGAAAGAAAUGGUGGGUGUUGGAGGGGGUGCUACCUACACUAAGGACCCUGCUAGGACAUGGUGU